UGCCUGUUCCUAGCUGAUUUCCAGGAGGGAAGAUGAAAACUUUGCUUCUCUCUCUGCUUCUCUUUGUUAUUGCAGCAUGUGUCCGCUCCCAGGUUACACUGCUGCAGACCGGAGCAGCCCAGGUGAAGCCCUCACAGCCCCUGAGACUGACCUGCUCCGUGUCUGGAUUCUCUCUCACAUCUAGCAGGUAUGCAGUGAGCUGGGUUCGGCAGCCCCCGGGGAAAGGCCUGGAGUGGUUGUGCCUUGUGUAUUGGGAUGAUGACAAACGCUACCACGAGUCCCUCAAAACCCGACUGACCAUCUCCAGGGACACCUCUAAAAGAGAGGUGUAUUUGGAAAUGAGAGGCAUGGAAGCCGGAGACAGCGGCACCUAUUACUGCGCCAGGAGAUACACAGUGACACAGAGCAGAGCAGGGACCGGACAAAAAGGGGAAGCAGAUUCUGAGCAGCGCAGCAUCCUCUCCCAGGUGCAGCUGCAGGAGGCUGAGGAGGGGGCGGUGAAGCCAGGAGAGUCACUGAAAUUUACCUGCACCAUCUCUGGAGACUUGGUUUCUAACACCAGCGUCACCUGGGACUGGGUCCGGAGGCCUCUGGGGAAAGGGCUGGAGUUCAUGGGGCGCAUCUAG